AUUGAACGCUGGCGGCAUGCCUUACACAUGCAAGUCGAACGGUAACAGGCCGCAAGGCGCUGACGAGUGGCGAACGGGUGAGUAAUGCAUCGGAACGUGCCCAGUCGUGGGGGAUAACGCAGCGAAAGCUGCGCUAAUACCGCAUACGAUCUAUGGAUGAAAGCGGGGGACCGUAAGGCCUCGCGCGAUUGGAGCGGCCGAUGUCAGAUUAGGUAGUUGGUGGGGUAAAGGCUCACCAAGCCGACGAUCUGUAGCUGGUCUGAGAGGACGACCAGCCACACUGGGACUGAGACACGGCCCAGACUCCUACGGGAGGCAGCAGUGGGGAAUUUUGGACAAUGGGGGCAACCCUGAUCCAGCAAUGCCGCGUGCAGGAAGAAGGCCUUCGGGUUGUAAACUGCUUUUGUACGGAACGAAACGGCUCUGGUUAAUACCUGGGGCUAAUGACGGUACCGUAAGAAUAAGCACCGGCUAACUACGUGCCAGCAGCCGCCGUAAUAC
rnacentral:rRNA from 1 species